UACGUAGGGGGCAAGCGUUAUCCGGAUUCACUGGGUUUAAAGGGUGCGUAGGUGGGUUGGUAAGUCCGUGGUGAAAUCCCCGAGCUUAACUCGGGAACUGCCGUGGAUACUAUCAACCUUGAAUAUUGUGGAGGUAAGCGGAAUAUGUCAUGUAGCGGUGAAAUGCUUAGAUAUGACAUAGAACACCGAUAGCGAAGGCAGCUUGCUACACAAUCAUUGACACUGAGGCACGAAAGCGUGGGGAGCAAACAGG
rnacentral:rRNA from 1 species